CUCUGUCUCACUUUUUCUGGAUGUUGUAUCAGUCACCGCAACAAAAUCCAGGUUUUCCUGAAAGUAAAAUACAUGCCUGGGAAGGAGUGUUCAGAGAACACUGGGCUUCUUAUAAUAAAGGAGAAAACGUGGUCAGAGUAGGAGAGAAAAACCUGGACAUUUUAAAAACAACUGAAAAAAUGGGACAACAGAAGAUUAAUCAGGACCAUUCUUGGCAUAUUGUGAAGUGGCCAUGGUAUUACCAAGACUGGAGUAUCCCAAGAAUGGAGAUGUCACAGCCAAUAGUGCUGGAGGUGGGACUGAAUGACAUCAUCAAAGCAUCAACCACAGUUGAUCAGAGCAUGUUAUUCAAGUAAAAAUACAAGUAAAAAUCAGACAAAGAGGAA
rnacentral:lncRNA from 11 species